GAUGAACGCUAGCGGCAGGCCUAAUACAUGCAAGUCGAACGAUAGAAGAGGGCUUGCUCUCUUCGAAAGUGGCGCACGGGUGCGUAACGCGUAUGCAACCUACCUUAAUCAGGGGGAUAGCCCGAAGAAAUUCGGAUUAACACCGCAUAAAAUCACAAUACAGCAUUGUACAAUGAUCAAAUAUUUAUAGGAUUAAGAUGGGCAUGCGUGACAUUAGCUAGUUGGCGGGGUAACGGCCCACCAAGGCGACGAUGUCUAGGGGAUCUGAGAGGAUGACCCCCCACACUGGUACUGAGACACGGACCAGACUCCGACGGGAGGCAGCAGUAAGGAAUAUUGGUCAAUGGAGGCAACUCUGAACCAGCCAUGCCGCGUGCAGGAAGACGGCCCUCUGGGUUGUAAACUGCUUUUAUUCGGGAAUAAACCUCAUUAUGUAUAGUGAGCUGAAUGUACCGAAGGAAUAAGGAUCGGCUAACUCCGUGCCAGCAGCCGCGGUAA
rnacentral:rRNA from 1 species